rnacentral:misc_RNA from 1 species
GGGAGAGGCAUGCGCGUCUUCAGCGAAAAGCACCUAAUCGUGGAUUGACUGUGUGAUACUGCAGCGCUGAUGUGGCUGAGUAAGUUGUCGUCGGAGAGGAGUGAAGGGUAAAAGGCGGGUCCAGAGCCGGUGAGCGGACUCAUGCAGGCGAAUCUGAGGUAUUCUUUGCUUGGAAUGCGAGACUUCUCCAAAGCUAAAAGAAGAGGGGGUGGCUUGGUGCUUGGCUCUAAGCACACCUUCCUGUGUGUUUGCAUCACCGUGGCGGCGGCAGUACAGGAUUCUAUGUGCGACUUUAUUUUGCACUGUUCUGUGCAGUGCUGAAAAAAAAAACCAGUGCCCGGAUGCAAUCGCCCGUCGUUCACGUCCACACUUCCUACCUCCCGACUUUGAAGAUUAUUUGACGGCUGCCUCACAGUGCCGCUGGACGGCGACUGCCAUUUCUGCGUGAUCAAGCUUCCGUGGCCCAACAACUUUUCUGCUUACCUUGUCUUCUUUCUUUUCACAAG